GCGGCAACAGCUCAAAUUUGAAAGCUAGCCUUCGGGUUCGCAUUGUAAUUUGUAGAGGAUGAUUUGGGGAAGCCGCCUGUCUAAGUUCCUUGGAACAGGACGUCAUAGAGGGUGAGAAUCCCGUAUGUGACAGGAAAUGGCACCCUAUGUAAAUCUCCUUCGACGAGUCGAGUUGUUUGGGAAUGCAGCUCUAAAUGGGAGGUAAAUUUCUUCUAAAGCUAAAUAUUGGCGAGAGACCGAUAGCGCACAAGUAGAGUGAUCGAAAGAUGAAAAGCACUUUGGAAAGAGAGUUAAAAAGCACGUGAAAUUGUUGAAAGGGAAGCGCUUGCAAUCAGACUUGUUUAAACUGUUCGGCCGGUCUUCUGACCGGUUUACUCAGUUUGGACAGGCCAGCAUCAGUUUCGGCGGCCGGAUAAAGGCUCUGGGAAUGUGGCCUCCACUUCGGUGGAGGUGUUAUAGCCCAGGGUGUAAUACGGCCAGCCGGGACUGAGGUCCGCGCUUCGGCUAGGAUGCUGGCGUAAUGGUUGUAAGCGACCCGUCUU
rnacentral:rRNA from 1 species